rnacentral:rRNA from 1 species
GGUUGAUAGGCCGGAUGUGGAAGCGAGGACUAACGACUCGUGAAGCUGACCGGUACUAAUAGGCCGAUAACUUACACCACACACCC